UAGGGAAUAUUGGACAAUGGGGGCAACCCUGAUCCAGCCAUGCCGCGUGAGUGAAGAAGGCCCUCGGGUUGUAAAGCUCUUUUGUCCGGAUAGAAAAGCAUUCGGUGAAUACCCGGAUGUUCUGACGGUACCGGAAGAAUAAGCACCAGCUAACUUCGUGCCAGCAGCCGCGGUAAUACGAAGGGUGCAAGCGUUACUCGGAAUUACUGGGCGUAAAGCGUGCGUAGGUGGUUGUUUAAGUCUGAUGUGAAAGCCCUGGGCUCAACCUGGGAAUGGCAUUGGAAACUGGGCAGCUAGAGUGCGGUAGAGGGUAGUGGAAUUCCCGGUGUAGCAGUGAAAUGCGUAGAGAUCGGGAGGAACAUCUGUGGCGAAGGCGACUGCCUGGACCAGCACUGACACUGAGGCACGAAAGCGUGGGGAGCAAACA
rnacentral:rRNA from 1 species